UUGCAGGGACUAUGGCCCCGCACAGCCCCACAAGGAGCAGAGUCGACUACAGUACUCUGUGUUAGACCAACAGGAGCACAUCCAAUUUGUCCCACCUGGUGGAGUUUGCAUGUGAAGGUUUCUGCUGCUACUCCAGAAUUCCUCACCCUACCUCCCCUUCAUGGGCAGGCAAGGGUGAGUGCUACAGCACUUUCAUGGCAGAUGCCCAGAAGUGGCCUCAGUUUUCUCAGCCUGCUCUUGCAUCCUCCAAGAAGACACUGGAGAUUCUUGAAGUCUAUGGAAUUGCUGCAGAUUCACACUGCAGGAACUGAAAACUGAAUGUGGACCAUUUAAUGUGCUGUGCAGUCCAUAUGAAGUAUUGCCAUGCUAAAUAAAUGCUAUGAGGAGCACACCAUAGCAUGGAUCAAGGUGAAGCUGACCAGCCUGUAGUCCACUGGAUCUUGUUUCUUGACCUGAUCUCACAGUGACUUUGGCGAGUUCCUCAGAACUCAUGGGUGCAUCCUAUCAGGCCUCAUAGAUUUAGGUAUGUCCAGUUAUAAAUGUUCUCUGGCAUGAUCCUCCUCCUCGGAGGGCUAGUCUUUCUUGCUCCACACUUCUCAACAUGGAUGUGCAAUUGUUGAGUGUAAGUUGUAUCAAUAAGGACCAAGCCAAAGAGCACAUCAAGUUCUUCAACCUUUCCUGCGUCCUUUGUCCCCAUGUCCCCUCCCCAUCCAUUAGCAGGCCCAUGUUUCCUCUGAUAUUGAUUUUGCUGCUGAUAUACCUCUAGAAGCCUUUCUUGUUGCCUCUCACAUUCCUUGACAGAUACUAUUGUAGGUGGACAGGGAUUUCCUAACCCAUCCAUGCCAGAUCCGAUGAUGUCUUUAUAUUCCUCCUGAGUCACAUGCUUCUGCCUCUUGUCUGCUUUCUUUGCACAUUUGACUUUAGUCAGCAGCUCCUCCCAUCUGUUUUUUCUGCCUGUUGGGAUGGGACUCCUGAACUUAGAGGAGAUGAUCUUUAAAACUCAACCAUCUCUCCUGGACCACUCUUCUCUCUACUGCCAUAUCUCAGGAUUUCUCCAAGAGAUCUCUGAACAGGCUAAAGUCUUCUCUACUAACAUCUAGGAUUAUGAUUCUGCUUUUUCUCCUGCUUUUUCUUAGCCAAAGGAAAACAAGUGAGGAGGGAAGAGAAAAGAAGCAGUGAGAAGUUGAAAGGAAAACUACCAUUCUGCUUUACUGAUAUUUCUUUUCAUAUUCUUCCCUUCUUGCUCUACUUUGCUUCUAUUUGUGUCAAACACUUUACAUGCUUUUAAUGAAGAGAAGAUAUAUUUGGAAGUAAACUUGUCAGAGUCCCAAAUCUGUUUUAAAAUUGAAAUUCUAUCUACAUCAUUUCAAGUUACAGAGAAUAGAAGUUUUAUUUGCUCGAUGACAAUUGAAACAUUUUCAAAUUAGUUUCCAACUGAUACAUUGCAAUAAAAUGUGCACAGUAUUGUCAGCUACAUCCCUCUUAAUCUAUGGCUCCAAUAAAAUACAUUCCAUAUGAAUGUCAGGAAAGCACUGGGAAACUUGCCAAAACAAAACCAUAAGAUAUUGUACAUUUAAUUCUUUACAAUGGAAAGUCAGGGGAAACUCUCUUAUGUUAUUUAAACAGUACGAUCUGAAAAUGAUGCUAAUCAUUGGGGUUUGAAUAUGGCUUCCAUUCAAAAUCUGGAUAGAACAUGAUGAAAAGCAGGUGAACCAUUUUCCUAAUAUUUAAAGCUUAUAAUCUGAUGACUGAAAGACUACAGGAACACUUAUUUUGGCACUUAUUUUGCUUCCCUUUCUCCUUCCCUAUGUUUCUUUUCACAUCCACAUGAAGGAAUGGGUUAUCAGAAAGGUGGUAGAUGCCCCAUGCCUGGAGACAUUCAAGGCCAGGCUGGAUGGGGCUCUGAGCAACCUGAUCUGGUUGGAGAUGUCCCUGCUCAUUGCAGGGGUAUUGGACUCGGUGACCUUAUUAAAGGUUCCCUCCAACCUGAACUAUUCCAUGAUUCUAUAGCCUGCAUACUUUCUCUAUUUCAUUGUCUGUGUUCCUGAAAACAUGCUUUUCCUUCACAGAGAUUUGUGUCCUCACCUCAUUUUCGGAUAGCUGAAUUCUGAAAUAUCAGCAGAUUCAGACUAAGAAGAAAAGACAGGAGCAACAGUAGCACACAGAGAGUAUAAUAGAUGUCACAGACAGACUGAUCUGGAAGGCAAUAUCUACAUUCAAAUUUAACUAGACAACCAAAUCAAGAAAGAGAAAAAAUCCUGGAGCUUCUGAAAUAUCCCAUUUUGGAAACACCAUCCGACAGUAUUUCUGAAGUAAUGUAUGCUUAGCAGGUGCAGCAGCUACUUGGUGGGACUACCCCUCUGUUCAGUUGCGCCUGCUAUUUGAUUUAACCAGGCUGCUGCCUGACAACCCAGAAGCUCUGGCUACAGUCAGAAUUAGAGCUUCCAGAGUUUAAAUGUUGUGAUGUUCCUGACAAAAUUGUAUUUUGUAAUGAAAUCCAGUUUUACCAGAAUGUGUGCUACUGCUCUACUCCUUCAUAACACUGGCUGUUAGAUUUCUGUGAGUCAUUUUGAGUCCUUUCUCUGUAUUUGAACAUGGCCAUAUCUCUUAGGGAAACAUUUAUUUCAGUACAAGACAACAAAUAGGGGUAUGACAUCCACUUUCUCUGCAGCUUCCAGCCACCUUAUCUUAAGUGUUUCCUUCUCUUAUCAGAUUUGUCCUACAUGACCUAUUCAUUUUCAAAAAAUUAACUGAUUAAACUACAGAAGGCAGUAAUUAAUCAUGCAUUAGGCUCGUGUCUCCUUUCAGAAUCUCUUCCAAUACAUCAAUACUCCUGUUCAACUCAGGUCACUGGGACAGACCCACUUUCUCCUGCCAGUGGCACCGAUCUGUCAUACAGAGUAGGAUACAUUGUAUCUGUCAAUUAGAAGUAAUCUCAGCUUUAUGGAUAGUUACUUUCUUUCCAAUCUAAUACAGCCAUGGCCCUUCCUUUUUUUUUUUUUUUUUUUUUCCAACCUUGCUGUAACAUCAGUCAGCCCACAGAGUCAUGAAUCUUCCCACAAACGUAUCUGCUGUAA